rnacentral:rRNA from 1 species
GACGAACGCUGGCGGCGUGCUUAACACAUGCAAGUCGAACGGAAAGGCCUCUUUCGGGGGGUACUCGAGUGGCGAACGGGUGAGUAACACGUGAGUAACCUGCCCUUGACUUUGGGAUAACUUCAGGAAACUGGGGCUAAUACCGGAUAGGAGCUCCUGCUGCAUGGUGGGGGUUGGAAAGUUUCGGCGGUUGGGGAUGGACUCGCGGCUUAUCAGCUUGUUGGUGGGGUAGUGGCUUACCAAGGCUUUGACGGGUAGCCGGCCUGAGAGGGUGACCGGCCACAUUGGGACUGAGAUACGGCCCAGACUCCUACGGGAGGCAGAAGUGGGGAAUAUUGCACAAUGGGUGGAAGCCUGAUGCAGCAACGCCGUGUGCGGGAUGACGGCCUUCGGGUUGUAAACCGCUUUCGCUCAUGACGAAGCUUUGUGUGACGGUAGUGGGUAAAGAAGCACCGGCUAACUACGUG